AAGCAGGUGGAUUUCAUUUUCAAAAGACGAUUUCACUUUAGUAACGUUUGUUGAUUUCCUUCAUUUAUAUUUAAUGGGUUUUGGAUAUUUGAUUUCGUGCGAUUUUAUUAUUGAUUUUAUGUUUUUUCAUUGCUGAUUUUGUGGUUUUGAAUAGUUGAUUUUGUGGGGUUUUAUUAUUGAUUUUGUGGGGUUUUGAUUGCUAAUUUAGGGUUUCGAUUAUUGAUUUUAUGAGGAUUAGGUUAACAUGGACGAUUUACUUGCAUUUUAGUAAAGAUUUUUGGGCGUUAAUAUAGGAGAUUAUUUUAUGGGUUUUGAAUA
rnacentral:misc_RNA from 1 species